rnacentral:rRNA from 1 species
UACGGGGGGGGCAAGCGUUGUUCGGAAUUACUGGGCGUAAAGGGCUCGUAGGCGGCCAACUAAGUCGGACGUGAAAUCCCCAGGCUCAACCUGGGAACUGCGUCCGAUACUGGAUGGCUUGAAUCCGGGAGAGGGAUGCAGAAUUCCAGGUGUAGCGGUGAAAUGCGUAGAUAUCUGGAGGAACACCAGAGGCGAAGGCGGCGACCUGGACAGUUACUGACACUCAACUACGAAAGCGUGGGGAGCAAACAGG